rnacentral:rRNA from 1 species
CUGAACAUGCAUAACACCCUGAACACGAUCCCGUCUGAUCUCGGAAGCUAAGCAGGGUCGGGCCUGGUUAGUGCCUGGA